rnacentral:rRNA from 1 species
UGCAGCCUACGGGGCGCAGCAGUGGGGAAUAUUGCACAAUGGGGGAAACCCUGAUGCAGCAACGCCGCGUGAAGGAAGACGGUUUUCGGAUUGUAAACUUCUUUUCUUAGUGAAGAAGCAAGUGACGGUAGCUAAGGAAUAAGCAUCGGCUAACUACGUGCCAGCAGCCGCGGUAAUACGUAGGAUGCGAGCGUUCUCCGGAAUUACUGGGUGUAAAGGGAGCGCAGGCGGGACUGCAAGGUGGAUGUGAAAUACCGCAGCUUAACUGCAGAGCUGCAUCCAAAACUGGAUGUC